rnacentral:rRNA from 1 species
AAACCAGCACCUCAAGUGGUCAGGAUGAUUAUUGGGCCUAAAGCAUCCGUAGCCUGCUUUAUCAGUUUUCGGUUAAAUCCACACGCUCAACGUAUGGGCUGCCGGGAAUACUGUAAAGCUAGGGAGUGGGAGAGGUAGACGGUACUCGGGAGGAAGGGGUAAAAUCCUUUGAUCUCUCGAUGACCACCUGUGGCGAAGGCGGUCUACCAGAACACGUCCGACGGUGAGGGAUGAAAGCUGGGGGAGCAAACCGGAUUAGAAACCCCAGUAGUCC